AGAGUUUGAUCCUGGCUCAGAACGAACGCUGGCGGCGUGCUUAACACAUGCAAGUCGAACGCGAAAGGGGACUUCGGUCCCCCGGUAGAGUGGCGCACGGGUGAGUAACGCGUAGAUAAUCUACCCCCAUAUUUGGGAUAACAAUUCGAAAGGAUUGCUAAUACCGGAUACACUUAUUUGAACGCGAGUUUGAGUGAGGAAAGGUGACCUCUUCUUGAAAGUUACUGUAUAGGGAUGAGUCUGCGUACCAUUAGCUAGUUGGUAGGGUAAAGGCCUACCAAGGCGACGAUGGUUAGCGGGCCUGAGAGGAUGAUCCGCCACACUGGAACUGGAACACGGACCAGACUCCUACGGGAGGCAGCAGUGAGGAAUAUUGCGCAAUGGGGGAAACCCUGACGCAGCGACGCCGCGUGGGUGAAGAAGGCCUUCGGGUUGUAAAGCCCUGUCAGGUGGGAAGAAGUGCAUCAUGGCUAAUAUCCAUGAUGUUUGACGGUACCACCAAAGGAAGCACCGGCUAACUCCGUGCCAGCAGCCGCGGUAAUACGGAGGGUGCAAGCGUUGUUCGGAUUUACUGGGCGUAAAGGGCGCGUAGGCGGUCUCAUAAGUCAUAUGUGAAAGCCCACGGCUCAACCGUGGAAGUGCAUGUGAAACUGUGAGACUUGAGUAUGGGAGAGGAAAGUGGAAUUCCCGGUGUAGAGGUGAAAUUCGUAGAUAUCGGGAGGAAUACCGGUGGCGAAGGCGACUUUCUGGACCAAUACUGACGCUGAGGCGCGAAAGCGUGGGUAGCAAACAGGAUUAGAUACCCUGGUAGUCCACAGCUGUAAACGAUGAUAACUAGGUAUAGGGGGUGUUGACCCCUUCUGUGCCGUAGCUAACGCAUUAAGUUAUCCGCCUGGGGAGUACGGUCGCAAGAUUAAAACUCAAAGGAAUUGACGGGGGCCCGCACAAGCGGUGGAGUAUGUAGUUUAAUUCGACGCAACGCGCAGAACCUUACCUGGUCUUGACAUCCCGAGAAUUUUCUAGAAAUAGUUAAGUGCCUCUUCACAGAGGAGCUUGGAGACAGGUGCUGCAUGGCUGUCGUCAGCUCGUGUCGUGAGAUGUUGGGUUAAGUCCCGCAACGAGCGCAACCCCCGCCUUUAGUUGCCAGCAUUAAGUUGGGCACUCUAGAGGGACUGCUGGUGUCAAACCGGAGGAAGGUGGGGAUGACGUCAAGUCCUCAUGGCCUUUAUGACCAGGGCUACACGUACUACAAUGGCCGAUACAAAGGGCAGCGACACAGCGAUGUGGAGCGAAUCCCAUAAAAUCGGUCUCAGUCCGGAUUGGAGUCUGCAACUCGACCCCAUGAAGUUGGAAUCGCUAGUAAUCGUGGAUCAGCAUGCCACGGUGAAUACGUUCCCGGGCCUUGUACACACCGCCCGUCACACCACGAGAGUCGGUUGUACCAGAAGGCGUUGGGCUAACCCGCAAGGGAGGCAGGCGCCCAAGGUAUGGCUGGUAAUUGGGGUGAAGUCGUAACAAGGUA
rnacentral:rRNA from 1 species